rnacentral:rRNA from 1 species
AAACGCUUGAAGUCAGUCGCGUCGUCCGGGACUCAGCCUGGCCUUUUGGCUCGGUGCACUUCCUGGUUGACGGGCCAACAUCGAUUUUGGCCGGCGGAUAAAGGCAUGGGGAAUGUGGCACCUCCGGGUGUGUUAUAGCCCUGUGUCAUACACGUCGGCUGGGAUCGAGGACUGCAGCACGCCUUUAUGGCCGGGGUUCGCCCACGUAACGUGCUUAGGAUGUUGGCAUAAUGGCUUUAAACGA